UACGUAGGGUGCGAGCGUUAAUCGGAAUUACUGGGCGUAAAGCGUGCGCAGGCGGUUCGUUAUGUCCGAUGUGAAAGCCCCGAGCUUAACUUGGGAAUGGCAUUGGAAACUGGCGGGCUGGAGUGCGGCAGAGGGGGGUGGAAUUCCACGUGUAGCAGUGAAAUGCGUAGAUAUGUGGAGGAACACCGAUGGCGAAGGCAGCCCCCUGGGUCAAAACUGACGCUCAUGCACGAAAGCGU
rnacentral:rRNA from 1 species